AACGAACGCUGGCGGCAUGCCUAACACAUGCAAGUCGAACGAGACCUCCGGGCCUAGGGGCGCACCGGUGCGUAAGGCCGGGGGACCAGCCCUUAGGUACGCAACAACUCCCCGAGAGGGGUGCUAAUACCGGAUAAUGUCUUCCGGCCAAAGAUUUAUCGCCUUUGGGUGGGCCCGCGUUGGAUUAGCUAGUUGGUAGGGUACAAGCCUGUCAUGGCGACGAUCCAUAGCUGGUCUGAGAGGAUGAUCAGCCACACUUGGACUGAGACACGGCCCAGUCUCCUACGGGAGGCAGCAGUGUGUAAUAUUGGGCACUGGGCGAAAGCCUAGUCCAGCAGUGCCGCGUGAGUGAUGAAGGCCUUAGGGUUGUAAAGCUCUUUUACCCGAGAUGAUAAUGACAGUACCGGGUGAAUAAGCACCGGCUAACUCCGUG
rnacentral:rRNA from 1 species